UACAGCUGAGGCACAAUUGACGUCCAGCCAUGCUCCAUGGUUGUAUCAUUAAGAUGCCACAGCUACUGAAUAGAGUCUGAGCUCAAUCCAGGAAACUCCAGCGGUCCAGGAGCAGCAGAUACUGUUGGUAGCUCUCUACUGUCUAGGCACACUCCAUUCCUUUUCUAUGCUCCCUGCUGGCUCUGAAAGGGGGACCUGAGUUUGCUGGAAAAAUCUGCAGAUGACUCUCCAAGAGUGAGGAAGCAUCUACCUGGAAGUGACAUACACAGUAUCUAACUCUGGAAAAAGUAGACUAGAUAGAUCGCAAGAGUAUUGAAAAUUGUCAACCACGUCAAGAACCUUGUACAGAAUGAGAAAUUCACAUCACUAAGCCACAUGUAAUCAUAAUGCUGAAGUUAAAAUCAAUCCAGCCUUAAGUCCUCCAGAUAAUUAGCUAAACAAUUUAUAUUAAUCAGAUUUCAUUAGCCUGUUUUCCUAUAUCAAUUUCCAAAGAAGGAAAAUAUAUGUUGUCUCUAUUUUCUUAUCAUAUGGGCCUAUGCUGGAGAAGUACAUUUUCCCCUGGGCUGUUUUCUAUAACCUCACAGAUGAUUAUUUUUUUAUUACUUUUGUUCUUCACUGGCAAAUCUACACUUGGAUCUCUGUGGCUGUCAGGUGAGAGAACUCUGUUUUUAUCACAUGAACCUGAAAUCCGAGCUCUAUCUGGCUACUCAGGGCAGGAAUGGAUUUGACUUGCCUAGGGUUUUGUUUUAUUUUUUUUUUGCCUGUCUUGGCACUUGUUUGUCCUCGUUGUUGUGUUAACUCUAGGCCGUGAUGACUCACGCUGAUACCUUUGAGAAUAUAGAAGAAAUAAAAUGAACAUGAAAUGUAAUGGAUGCUGUGACAGAAUUUGUGUUCC
rnacentral:lncRNA from 1 species